AACGAACGCUGGCGGCAUGCCUAACACAUGCAAGUCGAACGAGACCUCCGGGUCUAGUGGCGCACGGGUGCGUCACGCGUGGGAACCUGCCCUUAGGUUCGGAAUAACACUCCGUAAGGGGUGCUAAUAUAGGGUAAUGUCUUCGGAUCAAAGAUUUAUCGCCUUUGGAUGGGCCCGCGUUGGAUUAGCUAGUUGGUAGGGUAAAAGCCUACCAAGGCGACGAUCCAUAGCUGGUCUGAGAGGAUGAGCAGCCACACUGGGACUGGGACACGGCCCAGACUACUACGGGAGGCAGCAGUGGGGAAUAUUGGACAAUGGGCGAAAGCCUGAUCCAGCAAUGCCGCGUGAGUGAUGAAGGCCUUAGGGUUGUAAAGCUCUUUUACCCGGGAUGAUAAUGACAGUACCGGGAGAAUAAGCUCCGGCUAACUCCGUG
rnacentral:rRNA from 1 species